GUUCCUGUAGAGCAAUGGAUAGCGUGUUGGACUUUUAAUCCAACCAGGUGUGUUCGAAUCCCACCUGGGAUG